AUAUAUGUGAGAAGAUUAACUGCCUUAAGGGUGAAACUAAGUGACUGUAGCUGGAUUUGAAAACCAACUUGAAGCAUCCCAUAAUACCAGCAGGAGAGAGGAAACAGGAGAUGACAUACUGCAUACAGUGGGAAGCAGAAAAAAGAUUAUUCUGAGGCUCGCUGUUGUGUGGUGGAAUGGCAGUACUUGACUGCUCCUGACUUGUGAUUCCAAAAUUGAACCAAAGGAAAAAGAAGCCAAGUGACAAUGAGGUGGAGAGACAAAAGAAGAGAAUGAAAUCGCAGAAUAGUAGGACACCUCUCUGGCUCAUCAUCACCACCUAUUCCCGCCUGGCCAUAUAUCUCUCAAAGACCUCAUCACCAUCAUAAGGUAGCGUCUUCCACUGAUAAUCACCCAUUUAAAGUAAAUAGCUCUGAUCAUUAGCAUAGUAACCACUAUCAUAGAUAUAUAGCCAAGUGCGUGACUACUGACUUGUCACCAGCAAACUGAAUGUUUGUAAUAUGUUAAUAUGUGUGGGGUUUGGCCGUGUGGCCCACUAAACAUCUAGCUAAGGAGCAUUAGCAUACAGCUAUAGCUUUUGAUUUAACAUUAAUACACUGAUUCUGCAACUUUCCUGUGGCAAAUUUUUGAUCCUACUAUUCGGAUUGUACAUUUCUAUUAUUAUAAAGAAAAGUGUGCAAUUUAAAUUAUUCAAAUAUGUGAAUAUAAAUAUUUAAAUUUACCUUGUGGUUCAUUGCCAGAAAUCUUGGUAGAGGUGAUUGAGGUCAGUAAAAUAUUAAGAUCAUCAUAUAUGAAAACAUGCAUAUUGAAAUACUCAAUGAAUUAAAAAUACAAAAGAGUCACAUAGAAAUAUUCAAAAUCUCUCUAUCAAGUUCAGUUUCAAAUUCAAGGGUUUCCGAUAUCAUGCAUCAGCAAAUAAAUACACAUAAUCCGAGUAUGUUUUUGCAUUGCUUCAUAUUUGAAUUAUUAUGCAUUCUUAAACAACACAACUCAUAUGCAAAUUUCAGCAAAUUUGGAUUGAUGAAGGUCUAAUGUAUAUAUGUUAUUUUUUUUCUUUUAUACUAGUCUUUCAUUUUAAUAUGGUUUCAGUCUUACUAGUGCUGAGACUGCUCUUAUAUAUCUAUAUAUUCUGAAUCGUUCAAUGCCAGUUUACACUUGUCAGAUUUAGGGUAAUACGAUUACACACGUCCACAUGUAAAUAUAUAUGAAUGCAAGUGUUUUGCAUUAGUAUAAUUUUAUGCAUAUUAGAUGCCUAAGUAUUGCAUAUUUUAGUGCUGGUCACAUUCAAUUGAGGAACUGCUGAAAAUGGAGCAUUUGUUUUGAUAAAUUAUUCUGUUGCAACACCACCAGAGAGCUGUUUCAAAUGUGUAUGGAAUGUCCAGGAAUUAGCUAGAACAUGAUGUGUGGAAUGUGAACAUUUCCCUGUCCCUCAUUAGAAAU